UACGUAGGGGGCGAGCGUUAUCCGGAUUCGCUGGGCGUAAAGGGAGCGCAGGCGGCACGGCAAGUCCGGUGUGAAAGCCCGGGGCCCAACCCCGGGACUGCACUGGAAACUGCCGGGCUGGAGUGCCGGAGGGGCAGGCGGAAUUCCUAGUGUAGCGGUGAAAUGCGUAGAUAUUAGGAGGAACACCGGUGGCGAAGGCGGCCUGCUGGACGACGACUGACGCUGAGGCUCGAAAGCGUGGGGAGCAAACAGG
rnacentral:rRNA from 1 species